GGCUCCAAUGGACAUCUUCAAAUCCACAGAAAGGAGGAGCAAGAGCUUCCCCUGUGUGAUGCCAAGACCAACAAAGCCCCACGGAUCAGGGUUCCACCGGUCCCCAGGAAAGUGCACUCCUGGCAAAUGCCUUGCCACCUUGGGUAAGUACCACUCAUAGGUCAUCAUCUGUCGGAAAGAUCACACAAGGAGCCACACCUCAGCGAAUGCUGCAAAGACUCAGGUUCACCAACACCCUGGGAAGGCUCCAAACUGUGAUUAUACUUGUUAAUAAUUGGGAAGAAAUACCCAUAAGGCAGUUUCCAUGUCUUAGGAGAUAACCACAGCCAACGACGUCAUCACAACCUCUUCACACAGUUCCAGAUGGUGGUCACCAAUCUUAGACCUAGAGAACUGAACUUGAUUUUUAGAACCACUGCACACACAGCCCUUGAGAGCCCUCAUAUGCCUCUGCCUCUGUACCUACCUCAGGUAUAGUUCUAGGCCGACUCCUUCCUAGCCUAAGCUCCUAGGGGAAGAAACUGUGUCAUUUCAUCUCUGUGCCCCUAGCACACUGCAGAGCACACAACAUGUCCCACUGGUUUAAGCUGUGGUUGGAAUGUCUUUGAUGGACAGACCAAAUAACCUAGACAAGAUACACAACUGCACAAUUACCACACUCUUGUCUUUUUAAUCACUGAUCACUUAUGAUGGACAUAGAACUCUGCCCUUGAGAAGCUCAAUUAUAUACUUAAACCUAGGCCUCAAAGCUGAAAACUUUUUUGGCUAAAUAAUCUGAAUUUAUUAGUAGUACCUGAUUAACCACAUUCCUUCCACAUCUUUUGUUUUUAUUUUUGAGACAGGGUCCUGUUAUGUAGCCUAGGCUAGCUCUUUUAUUUUGUUUGAAACAGAGCCUCACUAUGUUACUCUGGCUGGUCUAGAAUUCACUUUUUAAACCAGGCUGGCCUUGAACUCACAGAGAUCUGCUUGCCUCUGCCUCCUGAAUGCUGGGAUCAAAGGCCUGCACCACCAUGCCCAGAUGGCUUCAAAGUCUUGCGCCUCCUGCUUCUGAUCCUGGGUACGUACAUGAAUGUGCCACCACACCUAGACUCGUAUGUCUUUUCAUUAAAAUAAAUUAUCAGAAAGAAAACCA
rnacentral:sRNA from 1 species